UGCCUAUGCAUGAUGAAUGAAUGAAUUUC
rnacentral:piRNA from 1 species